AGAGUUUGAUCAUGGCUCAGAUUGAACGCUGGCGGAAUGCUUUACACAUGCAAGUCGAACGGCAGCACGGGGCAACCUGGUGGCGAGUGGCGAACGGGUGAGUAAUAUAUCGGAACGUGCCCAAUCGUGGGGGAUAACGUAGCGAAAGUUACGCUAAUACCGCAUACGAUCUACGGAUGAAAGCGGGGGAUCGCAAGACCUCGCGCGAAUGGAGCGGCCGAUAUCAGAUUAGGUAGUUGGUGGGGUAAAGGCUCACCAAGCCAACGAUCUGUAGCUGGUCUGAGAGGACGACCAGCCACACUGGAACUGAGACACGGUCCAGACUCCUACGGGAGGCAGCAGUGGGGAAUUUUGGACAAUGGGCGCAAGCCUGAUCCAGCAAUGCCGCGUGCAGGAUGAAGGCCUUCGGGUUGUAAACUGCUUUUGUACGGAACGAAACGGCCUGCCUUAAUACGGUGGGCUAAUGACGGUACCGUAAGAAUAAGCACCGGCUAACUACGUG
rnacentral:rRNA from 1 species